GGAACCGACUCACUCACGCAGGGCAGGAGCGGGGGACCCAGGUAAGUCGCCGGUCCGCACAGCGGCACGGCUCGGGGUGAAGCCGCGCACGGCACACAGCGCCGUACGCGGCCGGGCACCUCCCGGCCCGAACCCGACAGCUCACCUCGCAGGCGCCGGAGAGGAACAUC
rnacentral:sRNA from 1 species